AUUGAGGGCAGCUUCAGGCGCCACUCAGGCCCAAGCGAGUCCAUGAGAGCUCUGGUCAUUCUGGAAAAGAAGGCAGGAUUGCAGAGAGGUUUCCAGCUGGGUCAAGAAGAUAUUUCUCCUUUCACACACCCAUGGGAGAUUUCAGCUUAAAAUGCCACCCAGAGACCAAGUUCAUUCUGUCAACUGAUCUCCAGCACCUGAUGUAAUUGAUGGGAUCCUUCCAAAGAAGAAACAAGCCAGAUUAACCCAGCCUCCUCUUCUGAGACCCUCA